rnacentral:rRNA from 1 species
GUUAAGCGAACAAGCGUACACGGUGGAUGCCCUGGCAGUCAGAGGCGAUGAAGGACGUGCUAAUCUGCGAAAAGCGCCGGUAAGGUGAUAUGAACCGUUAUAACCGGCGAUGUCCGAAUGGGGAAACCCGGUGCACUUCGGUGCAUCAUCGUUAGCUGAAUACAUAGGCUAACGAGGCGAACCGGGGGAACUGAAACAUCUAAGUACCCCGAGGAAAAGAAAUCAACCGAGAUUCCCCCAGUAGCGGCGAGCGAACGGGGAACAGCCCAGAGCCUGAAUCAGCUUGUGUGUCAGUGGAACGGUCUGGAAAGGCCGGCGAUACAGGGUGACAGCCCCGUACACGAAGGCACACAGGCUGUGAGCUCGAUGAGUAGGGCGGGACACGUGAUAUCCUGUCUGAAGAUGGGGGGACCAUCCUCCAAGGCUAAAUACUCCUGACUGACCGAUAGUGAACCAGUACCGUGAGGGAAAGGCGAAAAGAACCCCGGCGAGGGGAGUGAAACAGAACCUGAAACCGUGUACGUACAAGCAGUGGGAGCCUUCGUAAGAGGGUGACUGCGUACCUUUUGUAUAAUGGGUCAGCGACUUAUAUUCUGUAGCAAGGUUAACCGUAUAGGGGAGCCGAAGGGAAACCGAGUCUUAACCGGGCGUUAAGUUGCAGGGUAUAGACCCGAAACCCGGUGAUCUAGCCAUGGGCAGGUUGAAGGUUGGGUAACACUAACUGGAGGACCGAACCGACUAAUGUUGAAAAAUUAGCGGAUGACCUGUGGCUGGGGGUGAAAGGCCAAUCAAACCGGGAGAUAGCUGGUUCUCCCCGAAAGCUAUUUAGGUAGCGCCUCGUGAACUCAUCUCCGGGGGUAGAGCACUGUUUCGGCUAGGGGGCCAUCCCGGCUUACCAACCCGAUGCAAACUGCGAAUACCGGAGAAUGUUAUCACGGGAGACACACGGCGGGUGCUAACGUCCGUCGUGAAGAGGGAAACAACCCAGACCGCCAGCUAAGGUCCCAAAGUCAUGGUUAAGUGGGAAACGAUGUGGGAAGGCCCAGACAGCCAGGAUGUUGGCUUAGAAGCAGCCAUCAUUUAAAGAAAGCGUAAUAGCUCACUGGUCGAGUCGGCCUGCGCGGAAGAUGUAACGGGGCUAAACCAUGCACCGAAGCUGCGGCAGCGACACUGUGUGUUGUUGGGUAGGGGAGCGUUCUGUAAGCCUGCGAAGGUGUGCUGUGAGGCAUGCUGGAGGUAUCAGAAGUGCGAAUGCUGACAUAAGUAACGAUAAAGCGGGUGAAAAGCCCGCUCGCCGGAAGACCAAGGGUUCCUGUCCAACGUUAAUCGGGGCAGGGUGAGUCGACCCCUAAGGCGAGGCCGAAAGGCGUAGUCGAUGGGAAACAGGUUAAUAUUCCUGUACUUGGUGUUACUGCGAAGGGGGGACGGAGAAGGCUAUGUCGGCCGGGCGACGGUUGUCCCGGUUUAAGCGUGUAGGCUGACUUUCCAGGCAAAUCCGGAAGGUUAAGGCUGAGGCGUGAUGACGAGGCACCACGGUGCUGAAGUGACAAAUGCCCUGCUUCCAGGAAAAGCCUCUAAGCAUCAGGUAACAUCAAAUCGUACCCCAAACCGACACAGGUGGUCAGGUAGAGAAUACCAAGGCGCUUGAGAGAACUCGGGUGAAGGAACUAGGCAAAAUGGUGCCGUAACUUCGGGAGAAGGCACGCUGACAUGUAGGUGAAGCCCCUGCGGGUGGAGCUGAAGUCAGUCGAAGAUACCAGCUGGCUGCAACUGUUUAUUAAAAACACAGCACUGUGCAAACACGAAAGUGGACGUAUACGGUGUGACGCCUGCCCGGUGCCGGAAGGUUAAUUGAUGGGGUUAUCGCAAGAGAAGCUCCUGAUCGAAGCCCCGGUAAACGGCGGCCGUAACUAUAACGGUCCUAAGGUAGCGAAAUUCCUUGUCGGGUAAGUUCCGACCUGCACGAAUGGCGUAAUGAUGGCCAGGCUGUCUCCACCCGAGACUCAGUGAAAUUGAACUCGCUGUGAAGAUGCAGUGUACCCGCGGCAAGACGGAAAGACCCCGUGAACCUUUACUACAGCUUGACACUGAACAUUGAGCCUUGAUGUGUAGGAUAGGUGGGAGGCUUUGAAGCGUGGACGCCAGUCUGCGUGGAGCCGACCUUGAAAUACCACCCUUUAAUGUUUGAUGUUCUAACCUGGCGCCGUGAUCCGGCGUGGGGACAGUGUCUGGUGGGUAGUUUGACUGGGGCGGUCUCCUCCCAAAGUGUAACGGAGGAGCACGAAGGUCAGCUAAUCCUGGUCGGACAUCAGGAGGUUAGUGCAAUGGCAUAAGCUGGCUUGACUGCGAGAGUGACGGCUCGAGCAGGUGCGAAAGCAGGUCAUAGUGAUCCGGUGGUUCUGUAUGGAAGGGCCAUCGCUCAACGGAUAAAAGGUACUCCGGGGAUAACAGGCUGAUACCGCCCAAGAGUUCAUAUCGACGGCGGUGUUUGGCACCUCGAUGUCGGCUCAUCACAUCCUGGGGCUGAAGUAGGUCCCAAGGGUAUGGCUGUUCGCCAUUUAAAGUGGUACGCGAGCUGGGUUUAGAACGUCGUGAGACAGUUCGGUCCCUAUCUGCCGUGGGCGCUGGAGAAUUGAGGGGGGCUGCUCCCAGUACGAGAGGACCGGAGUGGACGCAUCACUGGUGUUCGGGUUGUCAUGCCAAUGGCACUGCCCGGUAGCUAAAUGCGGAAGAGAUAAGUGCUGAAAGCAUCUAAGCACGAAACUUGCCCCGAGAUGAGUUCUCCCUGAGACUGUAAGUCUCCUGAAGGAACGUUGAAGACGACGACGUUGAUAGGCCGGGUGUGUAAGCGCAGCGAUGCGUUGAGCUAACCGGUACUAAUGAACCGUGAGGCUUAACC